GACGAACGCUGGCGGCGUGCCUAAUACAUGCAAGUUGAGCGCUGAAGGUUGGUACUUGUCCCAACUGGAUGAGCAGCGAACGGGUGAGUAACGCGUGGGGAAUCUGCCUUUGAGCGGGGGACAACAUUUGGAAACGAAUGCUAAUACCGCAUAAAAACUUUAAACACAAGUUUUAAGUUUGAAAGAUGCAAUUGCAUCACUCAAAGAUGAUCCCGCGUUGUAUUAGCUAGUUGGUGAGGUAAAGGCUCACCAAGGCGAUGAUACAUAGCCGACCUGAGAGGGUGAUCGGCCACAUUGGGACUGAGACACGGCCCAGACUCCUACGGGAGGCAGCAGUAGGGAAUCUUCGGCAAUGGACGAAAGUCUGACCGAGCAACGCCGCGUGAGUGAAGAAGGUUUUCGGAUCGUAAAACUCUGUUGGUAGAGAAGAACGUUGGUGAGAGUGGAAAGCUCAUCAAGUGACGGUAACUACCCAGAAAGGGACGGCUAACUACGUG
rnacentral:rRNA from 1 species